GCAGUCGAGCGAACUGAUUAGAAGCUUGCUUCUAUGACGUUAGCGGCGGACGGGUGAGUAACACGUGGGCAACCUGCCUGUAAGACUGGGAUAACUUCGGGAAACCGAAGCUAAUACCGGAUAGGAUCUUCUCCUUCAUGGGAGAUGAUUGAAAGAUGGUUUCGGCUAUCACUUACAGAUGGGCCCGCGGUGCAUUAGCUAGUUGGUGAGGUAACGGCUCACCAAGGCAACGAUGCAUAGCCGACCUGAGAGGGUGAUCGGCCACACUGGGACUGAGACACGGCCCAGACUCCUACGGGAGGCAGCAGUAGGGAAUCUUCCGCAAUGGACGAAAGUCUGACGGAGCAACGCCGCGUGAGUGAUGAAGGCUUCCGGA
rnacentral:rRNA from 1 species